rnacentral:sRNA from 10 species
UGUUUUUGUUCGUUUAUUUAUUUUUUGCUAUGCUUUUCUUUCUUGCUAUGGGAAACUGAUGGAAUUCUCCAUUGUAUUUCCAACUACCAUUUAUUAAUCUUCAAUUUUUUGCUUUUUAUUUUCUUGUUUGAGUAAACAGUCUCUUUCUUUUCAAUCUUUUCUUUACUCCAAAAGUUUGUUUUGACUCUGCAGCAGUGCAAGUGGGUGCUUUGUGCUUCAUUUUUGGAGUUUCUUUGUACUUUAAUAUGAAUAUAUUUUUUUUAAUGUUUUUACUGGUUGAAGAAUUGGGUCUGGAUCUGGGACUUCAGUUUCAUGGUUGUUCUUCAUCAAAGUUUUUUCAACUUAGUUUCGUGCUCUUUUCGGUUUUGACUUUUUCAGUGAAUUUUAAGUGAGAAAACUGAGUUAUGUUUCUUCAAGAAAUUUCGGUACUGUUUAAUUUUGGACUUUGUCUUGGUCUUAUUGCUGAGAAAUAUGGAGAAAACAAAGGCUAGAAAAUUUUGGUUUAUUUUUUAUGUUGUUUAGUCGAGACAACCUGACUUCCUUUACCUUUCAUAUCUCUUCUGUUUAAGCUUUUUGCAAAUUCAGCUGUUUAUUAUGGUUUCCAAAUCCAGUAAAUGUUUCUUAGUGGCUUUUGAUUUUAUUUCUUUCAUAUAAAAAAUUUGCAAAGCUUAAGAUGUUUGAUAAGUUCUUAAAACCUUAGAAAUUCUUUUAGCUUAAGCCUUUGUAAUAUGCAUGAUUGCAUAUAGAAGUUCCCCCUUUUCCAGCUUGUCCAGCUAGAGAGAGUCCAGAAUCUGUGGUGAGUUUUUGGUGAAUAACAAGCUCCAUUUAGAAUGAAAAAUAGAGAUAUGGGAUUGUAAAGGUUUUCUGGAUUUUUUUUUGGUGUACUUGUCAUCUGGAUCAAAGUUGUUUAUCUAGCAUUGCAUGUGAUAUUACUUCUUUUCGGUAUGAAUGCUUACAAAAUUAUGUUUUGUGGACGUAUACUAUCUUGUCAUGAAUUCUAAGCAGUUCACUUGAUGUUUUGACUUUUACUUCUCCUUGUAUGUUUUUUAGUAUCCGAGUUCAAUUCUUGUCUGUUGAAAGGUAAUUCCAUCUCCUUCGUUCAUGUUUGAAAGAAACCCAUAUUUCUGUGAGUAAUACUAUAUAGAUCCCUUUGUGUUUUUGGUGCUAUUCAUGGCGAUCUGAAUAUUGUUUUGCUUGGACUGUCCGUGUCAUAAAUGAUGAUGUUUAUGAAAUGUAAGAUAUUGGUGGCUUUGAAGAAACGUUGUUAGAUGUCACUAUGUGCAUAAAGAUUUUGUGCAUAGAGUAUAAUAAGUAGCUAUGAAUGGUUUCUGCUGGAGUUGCAUGAUUCUUUUUCUGACAUUUUUUAUCUUUAAUUUUUCAGGAUUGUUAGAACUAUGAGUUUUGGAUGCAAUUCUACUGCUUUAGGGUCAAUGGAAACUGAAUUUAUGGAGUUCAAUGACAUUUAUAUUAUUUUGAGAUUGAAAACAGCUUGGUACUUUCUCAAUUAUUUUACUUUGAGAUUUGACACAUUAUCAAUUGACAACGAGAGAGAGCACGCUCGUUGGCAUUCUUGCAAGGACAUGGAUGUGUACAAGCGUGCUCUCUAUCGUUGUCAUAUGAUAUGUACAAAGCUGUCUUUUCUCAAUUUCUUAGUCUGUUGCUGCAAUGGCUAGCAGGUGAUUCUGUUCAGCUGGAAUUUCAAUUUUGCUGCAAACUUUUUCAAUGAAAUAUAGAUAAUAAGAUGGUUGUUAUUAUCAUGUUAUACAUUUGGCUGGAAUUUCAAUUUUGCUGCAAUGUUUUUGAUGAAACAUGAAUAAUAAGUCAGUUGUUAUUAUCAUGUUAUACAUGUGUGUGUUGUUUAAAUUUACUUAUAUUUCUUUCUAAUCA